rnacentral:rRNA from 1 species
GAUGAACGCUGGCGGCGUGCCUAAUACAUGCAAGUCGAGCGAACAGAUAAGGAGCUUGCUCCUUUGACGUUAGCGGCGGACGGGUGAGUAACACGUGGGUAACCUACCUAUAAGACUGGGAUAACUUCGGGAAACCGGAGCUAAUACCGGAUAACAUUUGGAACCGCAUGGUUCUAAAGUGAAAGUUGGUUUUGCUAUCACUUCUAGAUGGUCCCGCGCCGUAUUAGCUAGUUGUUAAGGUAACGGCUUACCAAGGCGACGAUACGUAGCCGACCUGCGAGGGUGAUCGGCCACACUGGAACUGGGACACGGUCCAGACUCCUACGGGAGGCAGCAGUAGGGAAUCUUCCGCAAUGGGCGAAAGCCUGACGGAGCAACGCCGCGUGAGUGAUGAAGGGUUUCGGCUCGUAAAACUCUGUUACUAGGGAAGAACAAAUGUGUAAGUAACUGUGCACGUCUUGACGGUACCGAAUCAGAAAGCCACGGCUAACUACGUG